rnacentral:tRNA from 1 species
GGAAGGGUACAGUGCAGUGGUAGAGCAUGUGCUUGGCAUGCACCAGGUCCUGGGUUCAAUCCCCAGUACUGCCA